GAUUAAUUGGAGUUCUAGUUCGUUUACUUUGAGAAAAUUAGAGUGUUUAAAGCAGCCUCUUGGGGGCACUGAAUACAUUAGCAUGGGAUAAUAAAAUAGGAUCUUCACAAUAUAUUUUAUUGGUUUAAAUUGCGUAUGAAGAUAAUGAUUAAUAGGGACAGUUGGGGGUAUUCAUAUUGGGUGGUUAGCGGUGAAAUGCUCGGAUCCAUUCAAGAUGAACUAAAGCGAAAGCAUUUACCAAGGAUGUUUUCAUUAAUCAAGAACGAAAGUUAAGGGGAUCGAAGACGAUUAGAUACCGUCGUAGUCUUAACUAUAAACUAUGCCGACCAGGGAUAUGAGUGUUACGAUAAUAUGCAAAUAUUAAUCAAUUUCUUCUUAUGGACCUUGUGAGAAAUCAUAAG
rnacentral:rRNA from 1 species